rnacentral:rRNA from 1 species
GACGGGGGGGCAAGUGUUCUUCGGAAUGACUGGGCGUAAAGGGCACGUAGGCGGUGAAUCGGGUUGAAAGUGAAAGUCGCCAAAAAGUGGCGGAAUGCUCUCGAAACCAAUUCACUUGAGUGAGACAGAGGAGAGUGGAAUUUCGUGUGUAGGGGUGAAAUCCGUAAAUAUACGAAGGAACGCCAAAAGCGAAGGCAGCUCUCUGGGUCCCUACCGACGCCUGGGGUGCGAAAGCAUGGGGAGCGAACAGG